GAAAAUUUAGUUAAAUAAAUAACAUUAGUUUGUCAAGCUAAAAUUAUUAUAAAAUUAAUAAUUUUCA
rnacentral:tRNA from 1 species